UGUGGGAGCGGGCUUGCUCGCGAUGCAAACAACUCGGUGAAUCAUAUUGACCGAGCUGAUGCAAUCGCGAGCAGGCCCGCUCCCACA
rnacentral:antisense_RNA from 1 species